AAAGAAAAAAUAAACUUGACAAAGGAAAUAUAGCAUGUACG
rnacentral:sRNA from 1 species